AACGCUAGCUACAGGCUUAACACAUGCAAGUCGAGGGGCAGCAUGGUCUUAGCUUGCUAAGGCCGAUGGCGACCGGCGCACGGGUGAGUAACACGUAUCCAACCUGCCGUCUACUCUUGGACAGCCUUCUGAAAGGAAGAUUAAUACAAGAUGGCAUCAUGAGUCCGCAUGUUCACAUGAUUAAAGGUAUUCCGGUAGACGAUGGGGAUGCGUUCCAUUAGAUAGUAGGCGGGGUAACGGCCCACCUAGUCUUCGAUGGAUAGGGGUUCUGAGAGGAAGGUCCCCCACAUUGGAACUGAGACACGGUCCAAACUCCUACGGGAGGCAGCAGUGAGGAAUAUUGGUCAAUGGACGAGAGUCUGAACCAGCCAAGUAGCGUGAAGGAUGACUGCCCUAUGGGUUGUAAACUUCUUUUAUAUGGGAAUAAAGUAUUCCACGUGUGGAAUUUUGUAUGUACCAUAUGAAUAAGGAUCGGCUAACUCCGUGCCAGCAGCCGCGGUAAUACGGAGGAUCCGAGCGUUAUCCGGAUUUAUUGGGUUUAAAGGGAGCGUAGGUUGACAUAUAAGUCAGCUGUGAAAGUUUACGGCUCAACCGUGAAAUUGCAGUUGAUACUGUAUGUCUUGAGUGUACAAGAGGUGGGCGGAAUUCGUGGUGUAGCGGUGAAAUGCUUAGAUAUCACGAAGAACUCCGAUUG
rnacentral:rRNA from 1 species